AAACAGAGGAUGCAAACAAUUCGAUGGCUAGGUUUGCACAGUUGUGCUUCUCCUCUAAUCUGUUCGAUUGAGCUCGAUGAUCAGUCCUUGAACUCUUCCUAGCGAAUUCAGUAAAUUACGAUUGUCCAAUUUGGAUGUUGAUUUGGAGUCAACCAAGGAUUUACUCUGCGUCUGUCUCUGAGCGAUAUGGUGUUGAGCAAGAAGAGAUCCAUGCCGAUGUCCUACAAGACUACGAAGGGCAUGUCGGACAAAGCUCCUUCGAUGCUUAAGUUAGUUCGGAUUCCGAGAAUUUAAUCAAGUGCCGAGUCUAUAUGAAAUCAAAACACCGAAAAAGUCCCCCCGGUGAACAUACAUGAGGGGCCUUUUUAUUUUACGGUCUGAUACCCUUUCACUCGAGGUUGUGAUUAAAUGCCUAGCUUCUUGAUACCUUUGACUAUAGAUGCAUCCAUGUAGUACCGAAUUUCGAAAAACUAGGUUAACUACUGGUUGAAUCAGCUUCCUAUGUAACUAACUCCAUAGGGCUGCCACAUCAUCCGGAUGGUGAUGAUGUGUCAUCCGCAUGACAAUGAGGUGUUGGUCAUGUAUUGGUGAGGUAUCCGUAGUCCUCCAAGUGUUGUCAUCCACAUAUCAGGUGCCUCUCUCUGUUUGUUUAUCUUGCAUCUCUUAAUCUGUUUAUGUUAGUGCUCGCAUCACGAUCUGUAGGCAUGUAAGCAUUUUCAUGAUUGUGGUCAAGGAUUUAAGUCUUUGGUCCAGUAUGGUUUUAUCAACCUGCUCAAACAAUAUGUUACCAGUAUACUGUGUUUUAUACCAAUCUCUACCACCUGAUAUCAUUGAGUAUUUAAUCAGACUGAUAAAUACCUGAUCGUACCGACUAGCAUGUUUCAAUACCAAUCUCUCCAUUCUUCUAUUUAUCUUGUUUCCAUCAGGUUUUAUCUUAAGGUUAAAAUGGAUUUCAUCAUGUCUCAAUGAUUCAAUUUAGUAGUUACCUUUAUCAUUAGGACAGGAUGGCUAUGUUGUCUAUUUUGAUUAAUCUUUGCAAGUGGAUCAAUUGUUUGUUAAUGUUUGCAAGAAGAUGAAUUGUCUGUUUUUCCAGAAACCAUUCUAGACUAAGGCCAAUUGAAAGAUGCAAUCAACCUUUGCUUGAAAAAAUAAAAAAAGAGCUCAGUGAAGUUGUUGAACUUCUAUUGCUUCUCUUCCUAGGAUAAAGCACCAACUAAAAUUCCUGUCCGAAGAAAUCCUGGAUUGGAAUGAUGAAUUUGAAUUUGACUAGCUAGAUAUUUAAAUUUCAUUUCAAUAUUCAUUUUUUCUGUUUGAAUUCAUCCUGAAACCAAUCUUAUAUUUCACUCGAGUCAGUUGCAAACCAGAUUAAAGUAUCUCUGAUUCGAUCUUAAUUGAUUGGGAUUCCUACAAAACCAAAUCCGUUUCUUUCCCUAAUCCUGCAGCUUCUAAAAGAGUUCGACAGAUGCAGAUGCAGCAUCUGAGAGAUGGUUUCUUCUCCUCAGGUAUGUUGAGAUGGUGCGUUGGAGCUACAGACAUGUCAGAAGAUAGCUGGGAAGCCCUUGAUUCCUGACUCUGACCAUGUCAUGGUGCGGUGGGAGAUUCCCAGUCUGUCGGUGUGUGCUUCCAUGAUAACUGGGAGAUGCAGUGGGGAUCCAGCUGAUGUUACCUCAUGGCCUUCUUCAGUGAUGCCAAUGCUGCUGCCACUCCAUUUGAGCUAUCUCAAUUGAGACCAUGGGAGUUCCUGCAAAUGCUGAUAGUUCUGCUAACUUCAGGAAAUCUGUGAAGAAUGCUUUAGUUGAGACAGAGAAGUGGUUGGAGUUGGAGAUUCUCUUCUGCUGUUUACCUGCUUCGAACAAUAAGUUGCUGGAGGGGUUGGUAAGCAUGCAGUCACUAAUCAUUCCCUGGCCAAAUUCCAUGAGCAUCUGCUUGAUGCUGCCUGAGAUGUUUCAGGUGUUGAUAGGCUUGAGCUUGUGGUGCUUAGUUGCUGGGAUUGAACUUUUUAAUGUGCAAUGCAAUUCCCGACUGAACUAAUUGGAUGGUUCGACCAUGGACGGGCUUGAAGUGGAAUGUGAGGUCAGGAUAAGUAAGGGAUUAGAGAUGCUAGAGAUUCCGGACAGAGGAGGAAAGAGAGGAGCAUUGUGGAACUCAUCACUGAUAAAAUUUCUGAAAUAGCGGAGCCCUUGUUAUCGGAGAGACCAGGCCAUCAUCAACAUCAUAGUCCCAACAGAGAAGCAAGAAAGGUGACAGGAGCUCUGAGUUCAAGUUCAGUGUAGUUGGGUUCAAGAGGAGAAAGCUCUCAAGAUUAUAGACCAGAUCCCUCGUCAUGGUCAUUCCAUAAGUGAACAAGGAAGGGUGAGAAAAGCAGAGUUUUCAAUGGAUGAUGGUGUUUUGGCUGAAUAGGAGACAAGGUCUGGUGGGUGAAGUUGCAAGAGAAACUAGCAUCUCUCACUUCCCUAUACGUACGUUAGGAGGUAGGCUUCUUUAUCAUCCGCUCGUUGGUCCCUGCAAAAUUAGGGCACAUUUAUCAGGUUUCAGAUAAGGAAAAGAUGAUAGGUGUAGUAGUGUAUGUAUCUGGUGGUGAUCAGGGUUCCAAUAACGGGAUCUUAUCAUUGUUCCUCUCGGCAGCUAAUGCAGAUUAGGCCUUCUUUGACAUGUUUAGAAGCUCUGUUUCCUCGAGGUUCUGACUUCUUUGUUGAAUUCCUCUAUGGAGGACUACAUGAAUUAUAUAGUUCAGUAAAGGUGAAAACUGCAGGAAAGAGGAUUAAUAUAUGAAUGGCAUUAUGAUGAGACUUUGCACUAAAAAAGUUCAAAAGAAAAUGGCAAAGCUGAUAGUAGUGUAAAUGGCACAAAGGAGAGAGAAAUGAGCUAGGGUAGUGGUGUCUGUGUUAAAAACAAGGUUGAUUCAUGUCCUGAGCUCAGAAAUAAUGCCAAAGAAGGUGACUUGAGUAGGAGAACAGACAAGGACAAAGAUCCAGCCAAUGUGGAAACUCAACCUACUACCAAUUAGUGGAUUCAGUGAUCAUUCUGAAUUGAACAUAUUCGGCAUAAAAAGGAAGUAGGGUACGUGUGAAGGUACUGCUGAAUCUGUUUCAGAGGUAGAACACAAACCUACAAGUGCUUCUUAAGUAUCUGGAUCAAAGCAGAAGAGUCAGCAGAAAGAGGAAACUAACCACCAUUCUGCAUCUCUGCUACUGAAGUUUGCACCUGAAACUGCUUUGCCAUCCAAGAUUUGGCUUAUGCUGAGCCUUGGUUGAGUGUGAUACACAAAUGUUCUAAGGUUCAGAUUACGCUUGUGUUUUGUUUGAGAAAGGCAUGGACACAUAGAAGGCCUUGAAAAGAUUAGAUAACAUUGGGCCUUUGUCAUCUCAGUAACUAAUCAUGAGCUUUAUUAUAUGCCUGGAAAUGUAAGUUCUCAAACACAGACAUCAAGUGUUCUAUGCUUGAGAGGGUGAUUUCCUAGCCUACUGGGUCCCAUCCCAAACCCAAAGGACAAUCAAGUGGAUGAAAUGAACAACCUAUUGGAAAAGGAUUCAAGAAUCGGCAGCAACUCAGACGAGAAGAAUGUGGUCCGAUCACAGGGUUCUCUGCACUAUAAUCCUACUCGAGGCAUUUCUUUCUUGCUG